rnacentral:lncRNA from 1 species
GAUGAAGCCGAAACAUCAGUGGCUUCAGUUGAAGAUCAGUUAAGAAAAGAAAUCACCGUGUAUGAGUGGAUUCAUGUGUCAAUUGGAUUGUUUGACAAAUGUGCAAUUCCAAUAGUUGCACACGCGAGAGCUAUAUAGGCUUGCAAAUGCUGUUUCUACAGCUUGUGCACUAAUGUGCUCCUGGAGGUGGGUGACCAUAUAUAUCAAGGACUGGUGAAUCGAUGAAGGCUCCUGGAGGUGGGUGAGCAUAUAUAUCAAGGGCUGGUUUUGAGAGCAACCUAAAAGGGUAUUUUGAUGGGCAUCAUGGCAGUUCUAAGGGAAAAUGGAUGUGUAAAAGUUCAAGUUCUUUUAACUUCUUUUGAU